AGUGAACGCUGGCGGUAGGCCUAACACAUGCAAGUCGAACGGCAGCACAGUAAGAGCUUGCUCUUACGGGUGGCGAGUGGCGGACGGGUGAGGAAUACAUCGGAAUCUACUUUUUCGUGGGGGAUCACGUAGGGAAACUUACGCUAAUACCGCAUACGACCUACGGGUGAAAGCAGGGGAUCUUCGGACCUUGCGCGAUUGAAUGAGCCGAUGUCGGAUUAGCUAGUUGGCGGGGUAAAGGCCCACCAAGGCGACGAUCCGUAGCUGGUCUGAGAGGAUGAUCAGCCACACUGGAACUGAGACAGGGACAAGACGCCUACGGGAGGCAGCAGUGGGGAAUAUUGGACAAUGGGCGCAAGCCUGAUACAGCCAGACCGCGUGGGAGAAGAAGGCCUUCGGGUUGUAAAGCCCUUUUGUUGGGAAAGAAAAGCAGCAGGUUAAUACGCCGCUGUUCUGACGGUACCCAAAGAAUAAGCACCGGCUAACUUCGUG
rnacentral:rRNA from 1 species